UUUGUUUCAUCGGCAGAUUUCUUCUCUAAUAAGGUGAGCAAUCGAUGUUUUCUUUUGUGUUCAGGUAGAAAGAAGUAUUGUUUUAUGGGGUUUUUCUCUUCCAUAGGCUGCGUUUAUCCUCCAUGUGCAAGUGUUGUGCAUUUAGUAAGAGGUAAGGGAGGAUCAUUUUCCCCUUUUGGUGUUUGGUUGCUAUCCUGCUUUUUAAUCUGUAAGAGUUUGGUUUUAGGGUGAUCAGAUUUGCUCUUUGGCGGCUGGACUGUGGAUGUGCUGUUUGAGUGUGGUAUUGCUGUGCAGGCCUGGUUAAACGGAGGGGAACUGCAUUUGGUCACUGCUGUCCUUCUUUACCCUUUAUUUUUGGGUUUUGUGAUUUAAUGUUUGUUUGGUUUUCUUUAUUUAAGGCACCCAUCAUGUUGUAUGGAUGCUGUUUAGCUGACUGUUAAAAAGACUAUAGGGGGCUUGUUUGCAGAUAUUUUAUGGUAUGAUAACCAACUGAUUUUGUGCAUCUGUUCCUUUCCAGUGGAUCAUCUGGGAGCACUGGUUGGAUUGUGGGUGUUGGUCCUUUGAUGAUGGAAUCUGUGCUACGGUUUACACUGCAUGCUGUGUGAAUCUUAUGAAUUUACGGUGUGUGGCACUUUGCGCGUGUGUGUGUGUGUGUGGUGUGUUUUCCUUUACAGGCACCAUUUUGGGUGAACCUUUUGGGGUUAAAGUGGGCCUGCACCUGUGGCCUGUCAGUCUUCCUUUGUAUCCACUGGAAUGUUGGUGUUAAUUGGUAAUUGUAAUAGUUGGUAUCCUUUUAAUAUGAUUCAUGUUGCAGUUUUAAAUAAAAUAAGGUAUUAAUAAUAAAGGUUUAUAUUUUAACUGA